GAUGAACGCUGGCGGCGUGCCUAAUACAUGCAAGUCGAGCGAACGGACGAGAAGCUUGCUUCUCUGAUGUUAGCGGCGGACGGGUGAGUAACACGUGGAUAACCUACCUAUAAGACUGGGAUAACUUCGGGAAACCGGAGCUAAUACCGGAUAAUAUUUUGAACCGCAUGGUUCAAAAGUGAAAGACGGUCUUGCUGUCACUUAUAGAUGGAUCCGCGCUGCAUUAGCUAGUUGGUAAGGUAACGGCUUACCAAGGCAACGAUGCAUAGCCGACCUGAGAGGGUGAUCGGCCACACUGGAACUGAGACACGGUCCAGACUCCUACGGGAGGCAGCAGUAGGGAAUCUUCCGCUAUGGGCGAAAGCCUGACGGAGCAACGCCGCGUGAGUGAUGAAGGUCUUCGGAUCGUAAAACUCUGUUAUUAGGGAAGAACAUAUGUGUAAGUAACUGUGCACAUCUUGACGGUACCUAAUCAGAAAGCCACGGCUAACUACGUG
rnacentral:rRNA from 1 species